rnacentral:siRNA from 1 species
UAGGUAACAGCCACGCUUGGU